UACAGAGGGUGCAAGCGUUGUUCGGAAUUAUUGGGCGUAAAGCGCGUGUAGGCGGCUUUGCAAGUCGGGUGUGAAAGCCCUCAGCUUAACUGAGGAAGUGCGCCCGAAACUGCUUAGCUUGAGUGUCGGAGAGGAUGGCGGAAUUCCCCAAGUAGAGGUGAAAUUCGUAGAUAUGGGGAGGAACACCGGUGGCGAAGGCGGCCAUCUGGACGACAACUGACGCUGAGACGCGAAAGCGUGGGUAGCAAACAGG
rnacentral:rRNA from 1 species